AGCGAACGCUGGCGGCAGGCUUAACACAUGCAAGUCGAGCGCCCCGCAAGGGGAGCGGCAGACGGGAGAGUAACACGUGGGAACAUACCUUUUGGUUCGGAACAACUGAGGGAAACUUCAGCUAAUACCGGAUAAGCCCUUACGGGGAAAGAUUUAUCGCCGAAAGAUUGGCCCGCGUCUGAUUAGCUAGUUGGUGAGGUAACGGCUCACCAAGGCGACGAUCAGUAGCUGGUCUGAGAGGAUGAUCAGCCUCAUUGGGACUGAGACACGGCCCAAACUCCUACGGGAGGCAGCAGUGGGGAAUAUUGGACAAUGGGCGCAAGCCUGAUCCAGCCAUGCCGCGUGAGUGAUGAAGGCCUUAGGGUUGUAAAGCUCUUUUAACGGGGAAGAUAAUGACGGUACCCGUAGAAUAAGCCCCGGCUAACUUCGUGCCAGCAGCCGCGGUAAUACGAAGGGGGCUAGCGUUGCUCGGAAUCACUGGGCGUAAAGCGCACGUAGGCGGGUCGUUAAGUCAGGGGUGAAAUCCUGGAGCUCAACUCCAGAACUGCCCUUGAUACUGGCGAUCUUGAGUUCGAGAGAGGUGAGUGGAACUGCGAGUGUAGAGGUGAAAUUCGUAGAUAUUCGCAAGAACACCAGUGGCGAAGGCGGGCUCACUGGCUCGAUAC
rnacentral:rRNA from 1 species